rnacentral:rRNA from 1 species
UACAGAGGGUGCGAGCGUUAAUCGGAGUUACUGGGCGUAAAGGGCGCGUAGGCGGUUAUAUAAGUUAGAUGUGAAAUCCCUGGGCUCAACCUGGGAACGGCAUUCGAGACUGUGUUGCUGGAGUACGGAAGAGGAGGGCGGAAUUCCCGGUGUAGCGGUGAAAUGCGUAGAUAUCGGGAGGAACAUCAGUGGCGAAGGCGGCCCUCUGGUCCAGUACUGACACUCAAGUGCGAAAGCGUGGGGAGCAAACAGG